AGCGAACGCUGGCGGCAGGCCUGACACAUGCAAGUCGAGCGGCCGUAGCAAUACGGCAGCGGCAGACGGGAGAGUAACACGUGGGAACGCGCCCUUCGGUUCGGAAUAACUCAGGGAAACUUGGGCUAAUACCGGAUACGCCCUUACGGGGAAAGAUUUAUUGCCGAAGGAACGGCCCGCGUCCGAUUAGCUAGUUGGUGAGGUAAUGGCUCACCAAGGCGACGAUCGGUAGCUGGUCUGAGAGGAUGACCAGCCUCACUGGGACUGAGACACGGCCCAGACUCCUACGGGAGGCAGCAGUGGGGAAUAUUGGGCAAUGGGCGCAAACCUGAUCCAGCCAUGCCGCGUGGGUGAUGAAGGCCCUAGGGUUGUAAAGCCCUUUCGGCGGGGAAGAUAAUGACGGUACCCGCAGAGGAAGCCCCGGCUAACUUCGUGCCAGCAGCCGCCGUAAGAC
rnacentral:rRNA from 1 species